ensembl:lncRNA
UCCAAAGCUCAGCUGGUGUGAACUGGCCUCAGCCCCUCUCACAUGGCUUUCCAUUCUCAACGUGACCUCUGUGCUUGGAUGUGAGAGCUGCCCUCAGAAAGCUGGCUGUCAGCUGACAGCCCACUCUGCAUGCUGCGGGCAAGGAUCAGCCCCUCUCAAGCAAUAUAAGCCCCAGGGAGAUCUAGGUGAGGACCAGCUGGCCAUCUGGAGCUGCGUGCUUCGUUUGGCGUACUUGGUGAAGAGUAAUGAAGCUGGAGCACGAGAGAUGUGGCAAUCACUGGCAAGUGCUGUAGCUGGACGAGGCCCUCGGCUCUCCCUGCUGCUGCUUCUUGAGGAUCUGCACAUCGCUACAGCACACCUCCCGUGUCCUGCACUGGGAAGUGAGAAGAAACUCAGGUCACUUGGAGCAUCCAGGCAUGAACAUAAUCACAGAAUUUCCAAAGUAUGUCACAGGACCAUUUAUUUCUAACCUCAAAGUUAAAACAUUUUCUGUGAGUGACUUUCUUUUUCCACCUUCAUUUGCCCUUUGUUCAUUGCUGCCUUUGGUGUGAAUGGGUCUCUUUGUCAAUAGCCUGUUCUUUUCCAUUUUUCCGUUGUUUCACACAGUGAUGAAGACCUCAGGGUUUGCCUUUUUCCUUUCUUCUCACUCCUCUAAUGUUCUCGUAUCUUUUUUUCCUGAUCACACUGUAGAUGGGUACAAAGUUUGCUCCAGCAAACUCAGUUCUGCCCAGCGAGUGCACGAGGUGAUGGCGUGCUGUCUGUGCCAUGGUAGGUUUGGCUAUUGUCUAGCAGAGUGUCACUCAGAAAGGAUUUUGACACCAAAUUUUGGUAAAAAAAGAAAUGUAAGAUGGUGACUUGUAUGUGAUUACCUGCUGAGAAUGUUGGUGUGAAAAGAACGGUGUCAAUGAACCUGGAGUUUUCAUUAGAAAAAUGUGUUUGUGUAAAAUAAUAAAGAAAGGAAAAGAAAAGCCUACAUGCAAUGUGGAAAGGCACAGUCUAACUUUUCAGUGCAACUCAGUCGUACCUGGACUUGUGUGCUGAAUGCCAGCACCGUAAGCUGUAUGCUGGCAGGGCAAGGCGUUGCAACCCCACUGGGCUGCAGGACGUGUGACACGCCAGUGUCACCAAAACACCUUCAUCUUCACUGCGAGCAGAGUCUGCUUGGUGUGAGGUAGCUGAGAUAGUGAGAGGGAGCUGUACAGGCCCAGGAAGCAGUGAUUUCCCACAGAAAAACUGAGACAAAAGCUUGGAGCUGCCAAGUCACCUUGGGCAACCUUUUCAUCCUUCUCAUAAUCUUUCUUCCAUUGCCAAUCGUAAGGGGUGUGGCUGCUCAAAGAAAAUGCUUUAUUCCCCUUUAUGCCACAAGUCGUGAUUCACACUUGGACUGAAAUAGUACACUGGAAUUUACCGUUGGAUCUUUUUUGAACUUGGAUCUAAUAAAAGGCUCAUUGUUUCAGUUCUAAUUAGUUUUUAAUUGCUGGGCUUUAUGGCCUUCUAAGACCAAUUCUUUUCUUACUCUGCAGUUAAUAUCUGCAAAUGUUUUCGAAUGGAAUGGUAUCAUAUAACAUAUCAUCUACAAGCCAUGUAAUUGUAUUCUUAGGGGAGUGGGGAAGCAAUUCAGCGCAGGAAUUUAUAGCUAAUUAAUAAGCUAUCAAAAAUCCAGGUAUGGAUUAGCACUUUGGCUGAUUAGAUAGCUAAAAAUUGCAGAGCAACACUUCCCCUAGAUAGAAGGAUCUCAUUCACUACACUUACGCACAGGCUGUGCUCUUAGAAUGGCAGAGAAUAAUUCCGAUGGGGGGGGGGGGGGGGGGGGGGGGGGUAGAUCUUGAUUCAUUAAUUAGGAACCCAGAAAAUUAGUGGUACAUCUGGACUACGCGAGGUUUGGGAGUGAGCCUGUAGCUCACUCUGCGCUUGCUGCACUACUUCUCAAAUGUCCUGGGCUGCUGUGCAGCAAACUCCACGCAUGUGUGACUUUUCCACCUGACUGACACGGCGGUGUGGAUGUUGGCAAACAGUGCAGUGGACGUAGUACGGUGAUAGGGUCCCCAGCUGCUGCUGCAAGGCUGUAGUAUAUUUUUUUCCUGCUGCAGUGCCUGAGGAUCAGCUUGAUUUUUUUGUCUCCCAUAAUGAGAAUACUUUGUAUGGGUGGAAGGAUUCUUUAAUUAAGUAAAUAGCUCUGGCUUUCAGACACUUAAGCCGCUGCUGCUCCUGCUUUUUUGUGUGUGUCCCAAACCUCCCCUUUUAAUGCAAAUAAAUUUUCCUUUGUGGCUUGGCUAUGAGCGCUGUCCUAGCGUCACCUCUUCCAAGUAUGCACUCUUGCAGUUUUUUAUAGACUGUAUUUAAAUACGGGCCUGUGUAGCAGCCAGUGCCGCAAUCCUCCAGUGCUGUUCUGCUGGGCAGCUAGAUGCCACUCUGUUUCUGACUUCUGUCCACCGUUGGCAGCAUAGCCGGGUGCCUGUAAAUUACCAAAUAUCGUAAUGAGCAGCGGCAGUUUGGCGACUGACUUCUGUGUGUAAGCUAUGUGUACAGCACCAAGUUAGCAAAUGCCCCAGUCACCUCUUCUCUGCUCCCAGUAAGAGGGGAGCAGCUGGCUGGGGAGCAGGCAUGCUUGUGCACGUCAGCAGCACCGGGCAGUACCAGUGGGGCUGUGCCGGUUCCCCUCCUGCAGUCCUUCAUGCCGUGGAACUGGCCUUUCCGCUCUUCCCUUUCUCACUUACUCUUUAGAGCAGUGUCGAUUCUCCCUGCACCCGUUACUGCCAAGACUUUUAUUGUUACGAGUCGGUGCGAUAUGGUGGCACGUUUAACAAAAAAUCAAGUUCCGUGAUUCACAACUGCCAAUAGGUCAAUAGGACAUUGCUGUUUGGGUAGCAAUGAAGGGAGGCACAGAGCCCUAUGCACUGUGAGUAACUUCUGCACUAUCUCAAGCCAGAAAUAAUCGGUUGAAACAGUAAAAAUGAGCAUUAAUUGUUCUAUCUUCUUUUGAGUCAUCGUGCGCUGACAGGGCUGUGUGGGACCCGGGGAACGCCCCGGAGCUGUGCUGAAACACCCUCUGUGGAACCUCAGCUUUCCUUCUGCUGCAUUCAGCACUGUGAUUUCCCUGCAUCUUUCUAAACCCAAGAACAUCUCACCUCGCGCUGAGAUGUCCGCGUAGAAGUCUCAAGGGGAAAACAUUUAAGGUUUGAAUUAUUUCACUUUAUUUUGUUGUAUUCGUUGUGAUCUAGAGGAAAAAGUGGAGUUUUACUGUCUGUGCCUACGUCCGUUAAGAGGGAUAUAAUAGCAGGCGAGGAGAGGAGAGAGCGAAUGACUGCCGGAGUGAGAGGUGUGGGAAGCAGCGUGCAGGUACUUGUGGGAAAAACAUUCAGGGCCACAAUGGCACAGGGACCGCAGAACAGGUGAGCGAAACCGUUCUCUUCAGGGCAGGAGGGCCGCUCUGCCCUCCUUCCUGCGUGCUCUCCUCCACCACGCACGCACUGAGCGUGAGGACG